rnacentral:rRNA from 2 species
UGAGGAAGUAAAAGUCGUAACAAGGUUUCCGUAGGUGAACCUGCGGA